rnacentral:sRNA from 1 species
GCUGGGCGCGGUGGCGCACGCCUGUAAUUCCAGCAGCUCAGGAGGCUGAGGCAGGAGGAUCAUGAGUUCAAAGCCAGCCUCAGCAACUUAGUGAGGCCCUAAGCAAAUUAGUGAGACCCUGUUUCAG